AUUACUUUUUUUUUUUUUUUUUUUUUCAGAAGAUCUAAGUAGUAUGAAGAGAAUUUAGCAAAAUUUAAAAGUUGUCAUGGUAACAUGAUCUUACAUGUAAGUUACUCUGUGGUUUUAGGCAAAUGAUACCAAGAGCUGCCAACUAAUAAAGGAUUAUCUUUUUCUGUAUGAAAAAUUUAUUUCAAGUGUUGCAAUUAAACAUUAUUUAAUUUACUUAUUUUAAAAAGUACACAUUUUUAUUAGUCAAACAGCAGAUUACUGGCUGUAAUUAACUUGAGACACUUAGGCAGUUCUUUAGAAGAUACUCCAUAUUCUUGUUCAUCCAAUUUUUCUCCCUCCCUCCUUCUGUGGGUUUCUAUUUGUAGCCUGGACCAAAGUUGGCACUCUGUGAUGUUGGAAAAUACAGCUAAAACUCACUCAAUUGUUUAGCCUUUCUAGCAGGGAGGGGGUGGAGAGGGAUUAAAGAGAUUGCUCUGACAGAACAUCUCAGUUGUUUGCAACAGCACCUUUAAAAUAAAGGUUGUAAUUAAUUAAAUGCAUGACAUUGUGAUGAACUUCCAUGGGAAGAAGGUUACAGACGUGGAAUCUAUUGCAAGUGCUGACUAAAAAUACCACUCCUUAAUAAUUAACACAGAGCGGGACUGAUGCCAGUGCAGUACAUGCUGCUGCUAGAUGAAUUAGUGUUGCUUCUAUAUGCAAUUAAGCUUGAAGUCUUGUUCAAAGGCUGACUUUACUAACUGUGCUAAAACCCUCUUGUGUCCAUGGAUGGGCCCAGAACAAGUGGUGUGUGCCACAGAUUGGCCUAAGUGUUGCCACUUCUUGGCUAUUUACAAGCUGCAGUUCUCAGCGCACAGUCUGCCCCACGCCCAGCGCUUUAGAAGGCAUGAAGCAGCAUGUCUGAAACUCUGGCUGCCCUGCAGGGGUCUCUGUGGAUGAACACCCACCUUGCUGUGUCUGUCUCGCCACUGAGGGAGCCUCAGCAAGAACUGAAGAAAAAGAGAGCUGAGCUCUACUGAAAGGCAUGUGUGAUGUGCCAAGCAGCAAAAAGCAGAAAGGCUGGUUCUACUGCCUGAUAAUUACACUGAGCUCCCUCCUGCAAGAACAAAGUAGAGCUCCUGGGAGAAAUAGUCAUUUCCUAUUUAGAUUUUCCACAUCAUAACUGAAUUUGUUGCUCCCAGUGAUUAUUACUUCUUUGAGUCCUGUUGAACCUCUUCUGCCUGUUCCAAAAGCCUGGAUAUUCAGGGUAUAAAGAAGAAGAAAGGAAGAGAAAGAGGCUGGACAGUGCUGGUCCUUACUGUAAUGUGCAAAUUCAGGAUUGAUCACUUACAUAUGCUUAGUGUUUCUGGGUAACUGGCACUUGAAAUCUGGACCAUAAGCCAAGUGCUGUGAAGAGGUCUGGACCUUAGACUGAUGGAAGGCAGAAUCUGUGUCCUGAUACAGAAGCCACUGUAGAAGAGUCAUUUCAGGAUGGGAAUAAGAUGAGACAUGGGGCAGAGUACAUUCCCAUGGUGCUGAAUUGACUCUUCUCCCUGGAAUGAUGCAAGAAAUGGCUCAGCAACUGGGAUUAAGGAGGGAUUCUCCUUAAUGAGAAUCGGAAUGCAAACUACAAGUAUCAGGAAGACUCUUGGUUUAAACAACAGGUUUUAAAAAUCAGCUCUUCAAAACUACCACGUCCCUUCAGCUGAAAGAUCAAUAGCAACUUGUGUGGAGAUCUCCAAAAACGCAUCAAGAUUCAGUACAUCUUCUCCAGAACAGUUCAAGCUCGGUUGGUUCGAUAAAUCACAGCGUGGGGGUCCAGGCACUGAAUUCUGUCAUCCCAUCACACCAACGUAAAACAAUGCACUCCUCUACUUAUUGCAUGUUUUUCAUUUGACAAUUUACCUGCCGCUGCCUUCUUUCUGCAGUCACUCAGGGGAGUGCUUUAUUACAUGUUAAAAGACAAGAUAUGUAUUGAAAGUAGCAAUUUUAUUUGAGUUAAAAUUAUUUACAAAAACCCAAAGACAUACUUCAUGAAACUGGUACAAACUAUUUUUCCUGCCGUUGGCUUUUGCUCCAAAGAUCACAGCUGAGAAAUACUGUAUAAAAUAAAAAUAGGAUUGGAUUCAGAAAAGUACUCUACUGUUCUAAUUUCCAAUUGAGAUUAUUUACACAAAUAUUUACAAUGGAAAAAAAGUUACUUUAAAACUUUAAUUUGCAAGUUGGCCUCAAGUACCCUUUAAUGCAGAGUUAUUUGAGGGUCUAACACACAAAAAUGCACUGCAGCUCACAGGGUGAUUUCUCCCCCCACCCUCAAAGAAAAAAAAAGAUCUGCAUUUGUCAGUGCUUGACAAUUAGUUACAUUGAAAAGAACUGUUAAA